rnacentral:rRNA from 1 species
GAUGAACGCUGGCGGCGUGCCUAAUACAUGCAAGUCGAGCGAACGGACGAGAAGCUUGCUUCUCUGAUGUUAGCGGCGGACGGGUGAGUAACACGUGGAUAACCUACCUAUAAGACUGGGAUAACUUCGGGAAACCGGAGCUAAUACCGGAUAAUAUUUUGAACCGCAUGGUUCAAAAGUGGAAGACGGUCUUGCUGUCACUUAUAGAUGGAUCCGCGCUGCAUUAGCUAGUUGGUAAGGUAACGGCUUGCCAAGGCAACGAUGCAUAGCCGACCUGAGAGGGUGAUCGGCCACACUGGAACUGAGACACGGUCCAGACUCCUACGGGAGGCAGCAGUAGGGAAUCUUCCGCAAUGGGCGAAAGCCUGACGGAGCAACGCCGCGUGAGUGAUGAAGGUCUUCGGAUCGUAAAACUCUGUUAUUAGGGAAGAACAUAUGUGUAAGUAACUGUGCACAUCUUGACGGUACCUAAUCAGAAAGCCACGGCUAACUACGUG